AACGAACGCUGGCGGCAUGCCUAACACAUGCAAGUCGAACGAGACCUUCGGGUCUAGUGGCGCACGGGUGCGUAACGCGUGGGAACCUGCCCUUAGGUUCGGAAUAACUCCCCGAAAGGGGUGCUAAUACCGGAUAAUGUCAUCGGACCAAAGAUUUAUCGCGUUUGGAUGGGCCCGCGUUGGAUUAGCUAGUUGGUAGGGUAAAAGCCUACCAAGGCGACGUUCCAUAGCUGGUCUGAGAGGAUGAUCAGCCACACUGGGACUGAGACACGGCCCAGACUCCGACGGAAGGCAGCAGUGGAGAAUAUUGGACAAUGGGCGAAAGCCUGAUCCAGCAAUGCCGCGUGAGUGAUGAAGGCCUUAGGGUUGUAAAGCUCUUUUACCCGGGAUGAUAAUGACGGUACCGGGAGAAUAAGCUCCGGCUAACUCCGUG
rnacentral:rRNA from 1 species